rnacentral:rRNA from 1 species
AGCAGCCGCGGUAAUUCCAGCUCCAAUAGCGUAUAUUAAAGUUGUUGCAGUUAAAAAGCUCGUAGUUGAAUUUCGGGGUCAGUAGGCUGGUCGUGCCACAGGUACGUACUGGUCUCACUGAUUCCUCCUUCCUGAUGAACCGUAAUGCCAUUAAUUUGGUGUUGCGGGGAAACUGGACUGUUACUUUGAAAAAUUAGAGUGUUUAAAGCAGGCUAACGCUUGAAUACAUUAGCAUGGAAUAAUGAAAUAGGACGUUCGAUCCUAUUUUGUUGGUUUCUAGGAUUGACGUAAUGAUUAAUAGGGAUAGUUGGGGGCAUUAGUAUUCAAUUGUCAGAGGUGAAAUUCUUGGAUUUAUUGAAGACUAACUACUGCGAAAGCAUUUGCCAAGGAUGUUUUCAUUAAUCAAGAACGAAAGUUAGGGGAUCGAAGACGAUCAGAUACCGUCGUAGUCUUAACCAUAAACUAUGCCGACUAGGGAUCGGAUGAUGUUAAUUUUUAAUGACUCA